UUUGUAAAGCAUUUUGCACAUUCCAGAACUCUCCCAGCUUCCCAAACACAACUUAUGCACAGCCUGACAGCUUUCACUUCUAAGAUGAUCUGAUGUUCUAGUAACAUUUGUUCAUCUUUUUUUUUUUGCCUCACUUCAAGUUUCAAACACAUCUUGUCACAGAACAAAUAUUUUCUCUGUUCUAGUUUCCUAGUAAUUCGACAGAUCUCUGUGGAAUUUCAUCCUGAAGUUUGAGUCUUUCUGAUUGAUGUGAAAGAUGGAGAGCGCCAGAAGUGACAGUUUCUCUUUCCCGGGGGAAUCACGCCAGAUCUCGCGAGACAGGACGGCGUGGCGUGGGCGUUGCCAAGGCAACGACGGCCGCACCCACGCCCUUAUAAAAAGCCUCCGGGCUGCGGUGGAAAGGAGUCGUCGGUGCGUGCGCAUCGCGCGGGUUGUUUAAACGUGGGGAAACCGUAAGCCCUCCAUUCACGUGUCAAUGUAGCGAGGCGGCAGAGGCUCGAUGAAUUUUAAUGUCCGAGAAGAACAUGGACUGUAUGUGAAGGCAGGGAAUCUGCUCUGUUGUUGUCGUCAUUGACCUCUGAUAUCACUUGGAGCAAGACAACCAAUGAUAGCAGUGACCUGACUCUGGAGUGGCAAGAAAGGUGUUACAGCUGUGGAGAAGGGUUCCCCAGGGAAGGAAGAGCUGCAAUCCCAUCUGUCAGACUGGGCAUGGAUGUACAAGGCAAAAAGCAGGGUGAAGACACCAGCCCUGCUGCACAGUGCGGGAGUUGGGGAAUUACUGAGCCCUCACAAAGACCAAACUUCUGUGAGCCAUGCGGGGAAAGGGAGCUGUGCCUUCUGAUCUGUGCUCCACGUGCCAUUCGUUCAUAUUACGUUAGAUGCCGAGUUAAAAACCAUAUCAUUCCGCUGUUGGAGAGAAAGGGAGUCCCAAAGUCCAACUCCCUUUUCCCUAGAGCAAUACUGUUGUUGGGAGUCGUGAGGAAUUUGCAGUUAUUCCACAGAAGCUGCACUGCAACAAAGCAAACUGUGCAACCCAUUUAUCACAGACUGCUCCCAGUUCCUAUCUUAAGUGAGAGGGGAGUCAAUUAACAAAUGAAAACAGAAGAACCAAAGCACACUCUCUGUUUAGAUCACAGGAUGUCAGUAAAACCGUGCAAUAGCAGCAGGAGCUUUUCCUGGAUGUGGUUUUGGAAUACAUAGGAGACAGUGCUAAAGCUGAAAUGCCAACCUUGAAAAGGGACCAUUACCUUUAUAGUGAGAUCUGCCUGCUUUCAUAGCUCGAUCACCAACGUUUUCCAGCUUCGUGGAUUUGUCGACCCAACAUAUGUGAAGGACAGAAAUAUUAGCUUUACAAAUCAGGAUAAAAAUGACACACACUGAAAGCCAAAGCUGGUUAAUGAGAAGGGAUUUUCGAAAUGUCACUCAUCUCAUUUCCCACAUUUCGUUUAUUUCCAAGAAUUGGUAUCUCUUUUCUUUCCAUGAAAGUCCAUUUUCAACUAACCUUCUUUCAAUCUACUUCUAAUCAAAUAAUAAUUAGUUUUCGAAUUAAAUUAAUUUAAUUUAUUAGUCAAAUUACAACUCAGCAAAAAGGAAACCACAGAUAUAUUUAUAACUUAUUUUAUCUUUAUUAUUGCUAACAAGGUUUGAGGAGAAAUGAUCUCCUGACAAAGCUGUUAAGUAGGCAGACAUGAUCACAGACUGUAAUGCAAUGGAAAGGGCACAGAAGAAAAGUCAGAUGCUCAUCUUCUGGGAGUCAGAGUGAAAUCCUAGUGGAGGUAGGAGGGAGAUAGAGCCAGUCUUCCCAUAGUAUUGAUGAUUAUUCAUCCCGCUUUUUAAAAAAUGCAGUAGAUGUGAAGGUUAGUGCUGUGUUUUGUUGGGUUUUAAGAGGCAAAUGUCCAGAGAGACUGUGCAGAUAUGGGAAAAUAAAGCUUUUUCAGGCAAAAGCUUCCAACUGGAUCCCAGUUGAUGAAGCUGUCUUUGCAGCACAGUGAUUUCCCCACACCGUGCCCUCUCCUGUCUGCUCAGCACCCAUCUGCAUGUGAGAGAUGACCUGAAAGCAGUCACCUGCUGAAUGGUGCAGGGUCACCCACUGCUGAGCACGUUCCUAGGCACCGAGGUCUAAGCAGAGGUGUCUACAGGGAGAAAUUCAGGCAGCCCGAAGGCUUCCCCCAAUCUGACCACUACACAGGGGCACAAAUACCAUCUGGGUACUAAGUGUGAAAUGGACCAAAGAAACAGAAUGAAAUCCGAAUGGAAAUCAAGGAAAAGAAAGCUACUCUCCACUUGGAUUAAGCCCGAUUUGGCAGAGCUCAGAUGAUUUGACUGACAAAAUAACCAUGAGCACAGGAGCUCAGCCUUGCUGGCAGCUGUGGGCGCACAGACAGAAGGCUGUCGGCUUUUGGGAGAGGCUCUCCAGCUCCAUGGGAGCACUGGGAAUUGGUGGGGGCUUGGGGAGCAGCAGGGCAUGGGAUGGGCUGGUGGGUCAGAGAGUAGCUCAGCCUGUCCUCAUCCCCAUUGUUCUCUUGUGUGACUUGUGCUCUGCCAUUCUGCCUGCAGCUCUGCCAGCUAUUCCGCAGCCUCAUCUUUUUCCAGUCUCAGCUCUUGCCUACUAAUGUGUUUCAGGCACAGAAAUUUCAUUAAAGCUGCACUGAUGUCCACAGGCUUUAGCCAUGGACUUUAUCGUUAAGUGGGUUUUAUUUCAGCCAGUACACAAAUUACCCUCUGGUCUUAGGUGGGGGGAAGGAGGCGUGCAAAGAAGGGAAAAGAAGCAAAAAACCCACCCCUUCCCAUCCAUCCCAAGCUGCCAUCAAAUAGUCAUCUCUGUCCUAAUGAAAACAGAUGCACAGAGAUAAAAAGGAACCAAUAAGGACCACAUUUCAGUAAUGCUGUGACAGUGCUUAACACUGCCAGGGACGAGAGAGGAUCAGCAAUGCUGCCUCGGAAAUGCAGCUCAUCUCAGCCUGCUCUCCUCACUGCCUUCACCCCGGGUGCUGACCUUAAUGUUUCAGUUAAUUGGAGGCAUUUGGAAACUGAGUUCUCUCGUUUAGCUUUGUGGAAGGUUUUAAUGUGGGGAUUAUUUAGCCAUUAGCUCAGGCUUUCGGUUUUUCUGGAUUAGGAUUCCAACAAGCUACUUAUCCUCGGUGACACGGAUGGGCCUGAGUGGCAGAGCCUCCAGCUGGAGCCAAGCAUAUUUCUCAUUUGGGGAUAUGGCUGAGUAUUUUUUCCAUCUCCUGGCCUUUGUUCAGUCCCGCAGAACCAAAAAGCAACCUGUAAUACCCCUCA